rnacentral:misc_RNA from 1 species
CGCACCUUGCGCUCCUUGGUAUUCCGAGGAGCAUGCCUGUUUGAGUGUCAUUAAAUUAAAUCAAGUCUUUUUUUACUUUGUUGGAAAAGACUUGGACUGUGGGGGUUGCAGGCUUUGUACAAGGUCUGCUCCUCUUAAAAAUAUUAGUGGAACCCCUUUGUGGGCAACCUAUGGUGUGAUAAUUAUCUACGCCACAGUUGACUGCUUGAAAGGUUUUGCUUACAACCGUCUAUUAUUGACUUUUGAACCAUUUGACCUCAAAUCAGGUAGGACUACCCGCUGAACUUAA